rnacentral:rRNA from 1 species
AUUGAACGCUAACGGCGUGCUUAACACAUGCAAGUCGAGCGGCAGCACAGUAGUAGCAAUACUAUGGGUGGCGAGCGGCGGACGGGUGAGUAAUGCAUAGGAAUCUGCCUUGUAGUGGGGGAUAACCCGGGGAAACUCGGGCUAAUACCGCAUAAUCUCUACGGAGCAAAGUGGGGGACCGUAAGGCCUCACGCUAAAAGAUGAGCCUAUGUUGGAUUAGCUAGUUGGUAGGGUAAAGGCCUACCAAGGCAACGAUCCAUAGCUGGUCUGAGAGAAUGAGCAGCGACACUGGGACUGAGACACGGCACAGACGCCUACGGGAGGCAGCAGUGGGGAAUAUUGGACAAUGGGCGAAAGCCUGAUCCUGCAACGCCGUGUGUGUGAAGAAGGCCUUCGGGUUGUAAAGCACUUUUAGUUGGGAAGAAAAGCUCAAGACUAAUACCCUUGAGUGAUGACGUUAUCAACAGAAAAAGCACUGGCUAACUCUGUGCCAGCCGCCGCAGUAA